GCCUGGGUGGCUCAGUUGGUUGAGCGUCUGACUCUUGGUUUCAGCUCAGGUCAUGAUCUUGCGGUUCGUGAGUUCGAGCCCCACAUCGGGCU
rfam:Felis catus isolate Cinnamon breed Abyssinian chromosome D4, whole genome shotgun sequence.